rnacentral:lncRNA from 1 species
UGGCCGGUGAAGUCCAUUUUGCGUCGUCGCGAUUUCGCCUUUCAUAUUCUAUAGGGCGAAAACGCGAAAUGCCGAAAAGGCGAAAUCGCAAAGUCGAAAACGCGAAAACGCGAAGUCGAAAACGAGAAAUCGGUUUCGCAUUUUCGCGUUUUCGACUUCGCAAUUUCGCGUUUCCGCCAUAUAGAAUAUGUAAGGCGAAAACGCUAAAGCGCUAAAACGCAAAAUGGCAUUAACCUGCCACCAUAGUUGUCCGC